rnacentral:rRNA from 1 species
GACGAACGCUGGCGGCGUGCUUAACACAUGCAAGUCGAACGGAAAGGCCUCUUUCGGGGGGUACUCGAGUGGCGAACGGGUGAGUAACACGUGAGUAACCUGCCCUUGACUUUGGGAUAACUUCAGGCAACUGGGGCUAAUACCGGAUAGGAGCUCCUGCUGCAUGGUGGGGGUUGGAAAGUUUCGGCGGUUGGGGAUGGACUCGCGGCUUAUCAGCUUGUUGGUGGGGUAGUGGCUUACCAAGGCUUUGACGGGUAGCCGGCCUGAGAGGGUGACCGGCCACAUUGGGACUGAGAUACGGCCCAGACUCCUACGGGAGGCAGCAGUGGGGAAUAUUGCACAAUGGGUGGAAGCCUGAUGCAGCAACGCCGUGUGCGGGAUGACGGCCUUCGGGUUGUAAACCGCUUUCGCUCAUGACGAAGCUUUGUGUGACGGUAGUGGGUAAAGAAGCACCGGCUAACUACGUG